rnacentral:rRNA from 1 species
UACAGGGGGUGCAAACGUUGCUCGGAAUCAUUGGGCGUAAAGCGCACGUAGGCGGUUCGUUACGUCGGAUGUGAAAGCCCUUGGCUUAACCGAGGAAGUGCAUCCGAAACUGGCGAGCUAGAGUACUAAAGAGGAUCGCGGAAUUCCCGGUGUAGAGGUGAAAUUCGUAGAUAUCGGGAGGAACACCGGUGGCGAAGGCGGCGAUCUGGGUAGAUACUGACGCUGAGGUGCGAAAGCGUGGGGAGCAAACAGG